rnacentral:rRNA from 1 species
GACGAACGCUGGCGGCGUGCUUAACACAUGCAAGUCGAACGGAAAGGCCCUGCUUUUGUGGGGUGCUCGAGUGGCGAACGGGUGAGUAACACGUGAGUAACCUGCCCUUGACUUUGGGAUAACUUCAGGAAACUGGGGCUAAUACCGGAUAGGAGCUCCUGCUGCAUGGUGGGGGUUGGAAAGUUUCGGCGGUUGGGGAUGGACUCGCGGCUUAUCAGCUUGUUGGUGGGGUAGUGGCUUACCAAGGCUUUGACGGGUAGCCGGCCUGAGAGGGUGACCGGCCACAUUGGGCCUGAGAUACGGCCCAGACUCGUACGGGAGGCAGGAGUGGAGAAUAUUGCACAAUGGGCGGAAGCCUGAUGCAGCAACGCCGCGUGCGGGAUGACGGCCUUCGGGUUGUAAACCGCUUUCGCCUGUGACGAAGCGUGAGUGACGGUAAUGGGUAAAGAAGCACCGGCUAACUACGUG